UACAUAUUUUAUUUUUCUAAAUUUGUAGGAGCUUUUUGAAUGAUAAACCAUGAGGAAGAUAUCUUUAUUAAUAAUAUCUGGUUCUGCUACUUUUUUCUUUCUCUGUGAUUGGUACUGGAUGUCAAAAUAUUAUUUAAAAAGUGUCAAUUAUGGCAAUGAUACAUCAAAACUUGCCAAUUGUUUAUCGGCCAUGAAUCAAGGAUGGCUGUUAUGCAGAAAAUGUGCUAAUAUUGAGCAAGAGUUACAAGUAACUCGAAAGUUAUUUAUUUCUUGA